AGUGAACGCUGGCGGUAGGCCUAACACAUGCAAGUCGAACGGCAGCACAGGAGAGCUUGCUCUCUGGGUGGCGAGUGGCGGACGGGUGGGGAAUACAUCGGAGUCUACUUUUUCGUGGGGGAUAACGUAGGGAAACUUACGCUAAUACCGCAUACGACCUACGGGUGAAAGCAGGGGAUCUUCGGACCUUGCGCGAUUGAAUGAGCCGAUGUCGGAUUAGCUAGUUGGCGGGGUAAAGGCCCACCAAGGCGACGAUCCGUAGCUGGUCUGAGAGGAUGAUCAGCCACACUGGAACUGAGACACGGUCCAGACUCCUACGGGAGGCAGCAGUGGGGAAUAUUGGACAAUGGGCGCAAGCCUGAUCCAGCCAUACCGCGUGGGUGAAGAAGGCCUUCGGGUUGUAAAGCCCUUUUGUUGGGAAAGAAAUCCAUCUGGUUAAUACCCGGGUGGGAUGACGGUACCCAAAGAAUAAGCACCGGCUAACUUCGUGCCAGCCGCCGCAGUAA
rnacentral:rRNA from 1 species